CAGUAGCCGCGGGAAUACAGAGGAUUUAAGCGUUAUCCGGAAUGAUUGGGCGUAAAGCGCACGUAGGCGGAUAUUUAAGUCAGGGGUGAAAUCCCAGAGCUCAACUCUGGAACUGCCUUUGAUACUGGAUAUCUUGAGUUCGAGAGAGGUAAGUGGAAUUCCGAGUGUAGAGGUGAAAUUCGUAGAUAUUCGGAGGAACACCAGUGGCGAAGGCGGCUUACUGGCUCGACACUGACGCUGAGGUGCGAAAGCGUGGGGAGCAAACAGGAUUAGAUACCCCCGUAGUCCCUGUCUCUUAUAC
rnacentral:rRNA from 1 species